GCUCCAGUGGAGUAGCGGCCAAACUCACGGCCCUCUCACGGCCGAGCCCUCGGUUCAAAUCCGGGCUGGAGCA
rfam:Halogranum salarium B-1 162.HSB1.1_14, whole genome shotgun sequence.